rnacentral:piRNA from 2 species
UGUGUUUGGGGCCAUGAUACCUGCUU